GCCGGAAGCCAGUGAGAAACCACUGAAAUAGCCUAGUCUGCAAACGAUGGAGGCCUAAACUUGUGGAUUAUUGGGGGUAUUGGAAAAAUAAGCCUGCAGGACGGACACUGUACCCUUGAGUACUCGCUAUAAACAAAGCCUCUGCCGGACUACUGCCUCUGUAACACUAAACAGCCUCCCCAGGGAAGACGGAUCUGGCUACAGGUUCACCAUGAAAUUCUUUACCAUCCUGCUGCUGGCCACCUGAGCCUCCACCUCUCUCGCCAUCCUUAAUGAGCCAGAAGAUGAGAUCCACUUGCAGGCUCAACCCAUAAAUGCCCAAGUGGAGCAGAGACCAUCCCUCCUGGCGCUGGACCUUAAUCCUUCCUGCUGCACUAAUUGGCCAAGAUCUGGGGACCGGGAACAAUUUGAACAGCACUUCAUGCUGGGUAGUCAUUGAAGAUGACUAUAUCUCAUACCCAAAUGCUAGCAGCUGCUCAGCUGAUAAUCUGAAAAGGACCAUGUCUCCAUUGAAAACCUUUCUGAGGAAUCUCUCAUCUCCAGAGAAGAGCUGGGUUUUGAAGAGGAUGAUAUGACCAAAUCUACCAGGAGACCAAAGCGUCAAAGGCCCGAGCUGCUUCACCCCAUCCCCCAGGAGGACAGUAUCAGAAAUGCUGCCUCUCAGUCAGAAGAGACUACAGAACUCACUCCCAGGGCUGCAACCACCUCAGAGGGAAAACCGGCCAAGCUCGGCCAUAAAAUCGGGAAGAAUCUGGACGAAACAGUAAAAGAAACCAUGAGCUAUCUGAAAAACCUACUCCCUCAUGCCUAUGAAGUCAUAAGGCCCAGUCCCGGCCAAAGCUGGUGUCUAACAGCACCAAAACCCUCCUUGCCCCGACCACCAUCUCUCAGCUCCCCACGUCCCUUAUUAAAGCGUUGCAUCCCA